rnacentral:rRNA from 1 species
UGGGGAAUAUUGCACAAUGGGCGCAAGCCUGAUGCAGCCAUGCCGCGUGUAUGAAGAAGGCCUUCGGGUUGUAAAGUACUUUCAGUCGGGAGGAAGGUGGUAAGGUUAAUAACCUUAUCAAUUGACGUUACCGACAGAAGAAGCACCGGCUAACCCCGUGCCAGCAGCCGCGGUAAUACGGAGGGUGCAAGCGUUAAUCGGAAUUACUGGGCGUAAAGCGCACGCAGGCGGUUGAUUGAGUCAGAUGUGAAAUCCCCGGGCUUAACCCGAGAAUUGCAUCUGAUACUGGUCAGCUAGAGUCUUGUAGAGGGGGGUAGAAUUCCAUGUGUAGCGGUGAAAUGCGUAGAGAUGUGGAGGAAUACCGGUGGCGAAGGCGGCCCCCUGGACAAAGACUGACGCUCAGGUGCGAAAGCGUGGGGAGCAAACAGG